rnacentral:rRNA from 1 species
GACGAACGCUGGCGGCGUGCUUAACACAUGCAAGUCGAACGGAAAGGCCCUGCUUUUGUGGGGUGCUCGAGUGGCGAACGGGUGAGUAACACGUGAGUAACCUGCCCUUGACUUUUGGAUAACUUCAGGAAACUGGGGCUAAUACCGGAUAGGAGCUCCUGCUGCAUGGUGGGGGUUGGAAAGUUUCGGCGGUUGGGGAUGGACUCGCGGCUUAUCAGCUUGUUGGUGGGGUAGUGGCUUACCAAGGCUUUGACGGGUAGCCGGCCUGAGAGGGUGACCGGCCCCAUUGGGACUGGGAUACGGCCCAGACUCCUACGGGAGGCAGCAGUGGGGAAUAUUGCACAAUGGGCGGAAGCCUGAUGCAGCAACGCCGCGUGCGGGAUGACGGCCUUCGGGUUGUAAACCGCUUUCGCCUGUGACGAAGCGUGAGUGACGAUAAUGGGUAAAGAAGCACCGGCUAACUACGUG